rnacentral:rRNA from 1 species
GACGAACGCUGGCGGCGUGGAUUAGGCAUGCAAGUCGAACGGUAUCAUCCUUUCGGGGGUGAGAGAGUGGCGAACUGGUGAGUAACACGUAGGUUAUCUACCCUCAAGACGGGGACAACCCAGGGAAACUUGGGCUAAUACCGGAUGUGAGCAACUUUUAGUUGUUUGAAAGGUGGCGUAAGCUGUCGCUUGGGGAUGAGCCUGCGUCCUAUUAGUUAGUUGGUGAGGUAACGGCUCACCUAGGCAAUGAUAGGUAGGCGGCCUUAACGGGUGGUCGCCCACACUGGGAUUGAGAUACGGCCCAGACUCCUACGGGAGGCAGCAGUCGAGAAUAGUCUACAAUGGUCGGAAGACUGAUAGUGCGACGCCGCGUGAACGAUGAAUCCCUUCGGGGUGUAAAGUUCUUUUAUAUGUGAGCAGUGCUUCUUAUAUUAACAGUAUGGGGAGAGAGAUAUUAGCAUAUGAAUAAGCAACGGCUAACUCCGUGCCAGCAGCCGCGGUAAAA